rnacentral:rRNA from 1 species
AACGAACGCUGGCGGCAGGCCUAACACAUGCAAGUCGAGCGCCCGCAAGGGAGGCGGCGGACGGGUGAGUAACACGUGGGAAUUUCCUCAAGCUACGGAACAACUCAGGGAAACUUGGGCUAAUACCGUAUGAUGCAGAGAUGCCAAAGAUUUAUCGCCUUGGGAUAAGCCCGCGUCAGAUUAGGUAGUUGGUGGGGUAAUGGCCUACCAAGCCUGUGAUCUGUAGCUGGUCUGAGAGGACGAUCAGCCACAUUGGGACUGAGACACGGCCCAAACUCCUACGGGAGGCAGCAGUGGGGAAUCUUGCGCAAUGGACGAAAGUCUGACGCAGCCAUGCCGCGUGAAUGAUGAAGGUCUUAGGAUUGUAAAGUUCUUUAGCCUGUGACGAUGAUGACGGUAACAGGAGAAUAAGCCCCGGCUAACUUCGUG